ACGGCCCUACUGGUUGUAAACUGCUUUUGUACCGGAAUAAACCUUGAUACGUGUAUCGAGUUGAAUGUACGGUAACGAAUAAGGAUCGGCUAAACUCCCGUGC
rnacentral:rRNA from 1 species